CGAAAAGUAGUGCCCUUGGAAGCUCUUCAUUGUAUUGUUCAUGCCUUAAACACAAUUAUUUAUUCUAUCAUUUUUCCUAAAGGCAGCACAUAUAGGACCACCGCUGGACAAAGUUUUCGCAUCCAAAUCGAUAGUCUCAUGUAAACUAAAUAUCUGUACCCACUCAAGUGUAACACACACUACAAAAAUCUCCAACCUGAAGGUCUCAGCAACAUAGUGUUAGAACUUAGAACUAUAUCUCUUGAAUGUUGAAUGCAUGUUGUCUGGCUUUAUGUUAAACUCAACCAUAAUAAGGCUA
rnacentral:lncRNA from 1 species